UGUUCUGUGGGGGAGUAGGUUAACGCACCCUGUCUAUUGAAUAAAGGAGACGUGGGUUCAAAUCCCACCAGAAUAG
rnacentral:tRNA from 1 species